AUGUUCAUUUUUGAGAUUUUAUCUGUUUGUAAUUUGUUAAUAGCGCUAUUCAUUGAUGGAGUCUUUGUGGUUAAUGACUCAUACUUCAGAAGGUUGAAUGUAACAUGUCAUACCUUUCUUUCCAAGGUAAAUAGAACUCUUCCCAAAUAUGGAAAUGAAUGCAAAAUUACUUCAUAUGCUUCAAUUGUGAGCCCGUCUAGGCGGCGGCGGCACUCCUCCGUCUAG